rnacentral:rRNA from 1 species
GAUGAACGCUGGCGGCGUGCCUAAUACAUGCAAGUCGAGCGAAUGGAUUAAGAGCUUGCUCUUAUGAAGUUAGCGGCGGACGGGUGAGUAACACGUGGGUAACCUGCCCAUAAGACUGGGAUAACUCCGGGAAACCGGGGCUAAUACCGGAUAACAUUUUGAACCGCAUGGUUCGAAAUUGAAAGGCGGCUUCGGCUGUCACUUACGGAUGGACCCGCGUCGCAUUAGCUAGUUGGUGAGGUAACGGCUCACCAAGGCAACGAUGCGUAGCCGACCUGAGAGGGUGAUCGGCCACACUGGGACUGAGACACGGCCCAGACUCCUACGGGAGGCAGCAGUAGGGGAUCUUCCGCAAUGGACGAAAGUCUGACGGAGCAACGCCGCGUGAGUGAUGAAGGCUUUCGGGUCGUAAAACUCUGUUGUUAGGGAAGAACAAGUGCUAGUUGAAUAAGCUGGCACCUUGACGGUACCUAACCAGAAAGCCACGGCUAACUACGUGCCAGCAGCCGCCGUAA